rnacentral:rRNA from 1 species
CGAAAGCCUGACGGAGCAAGACCGCGUGGGGGAGGAAGGCUCUAGGGUUGUAAACCCCUUUUCUUUGGGAAGAACAAAAUGACGGUACCAAAGGAAUCAGCCUCGGCUAACUCCGUGCCAGCAGCCGCGGUAAUACGGAGGAGGCAAGCGUUAUCCGGAAUGAUUGGGCGUAAAGCGUCCGUAGGUGGUUACAAAAGUCUGUUGUUAAAGCUCACAGCUCAACUGUGAAUCGGCAAUGGAAACUAUGUGACUUGAGUGUGGUAGGGGUAGAUGGAAUUCCUAGUGUAGCGGUGAAAUGCGUAGAUAUUAGGAAGAACACCAGUGGCGAAGGCGCUCUACUGGGCCAUAACUGACACUGAUGGACGAAAGCUAGGGGAGCG